UACGGAGGGUGCGAGCGUUGGCCGGAAUCACUGGGCGUAAAGGGCGCGUAGGCGGCGCGGGAAGUCCGUGGUGAAAGCCCGAGGCUCAACUUCGGGUCGGCCAUGGAUACUCCUGGGCUUGAGCACUGUAGAGGCAGGUGGAAUUCCGGGUGUAGCGGUGGAAUGCGUAGAGAUCAGGAAGAACAUCGGUGGCGAAGGCGCUCUGCUGGACCAUAACUGACACUCAGGGACGAAAGCUAGGGGAGCGAAUGGG
rnacentral:rRNA from 1 species